AGGUAGGACUACCCGCUGAACUUAAGCAUAUCAAAAC
rnacentral:rRNA from 1 species